AUGGGUGCCACGGGAAGGCUGCGUCCUCUCCACCUGGACGAGGGAAGCAAACUAAAUUUUGAUUCCCAGGCAGCCCAACAACUUUUGCUGCAAAGCACAUUGCUUACAGUGUGCUUUCUGGGGUGCCGUGUGCCACUCUGCGGCUUUUAACCAGAAGUGCGCUGCCUUGACGCAGAGGUAAGCUUGUUUAUUCCCAGGUAUUGGGCUCUCUCAAAACCUGUUUUAAGGCAAGCCUACAGGUCCCUGAGAAGAAGUGGACUGU
rnacentral:lncRNA from 1 species